rnacentral:rRNA from 1 species
GGAAUAUUGCACAAUGGGCGCAAGCCUGAUGCCGCGACGCCGCGUGGGUGAAGAAGGUUUUCGGAUCGUAAAGCCCUUUUCUUCGUGACGAGAAAGGACGGUAGCGCAGGAAGAAGGGUCGGCUAACUACGUGCCAGCAGCCGCGGUAAAACGUAGGACGCAAGCGUUAUCCGGAGUUACUGGGCGUAAAGCGCGUGCAGGCGGUGACGUAAGUUGUCUGUGAAAGUUCCCGGCUAAACCGGGAGAUGCCAGAUGAGACUGCGUGACUGGAGAGCGAGAGAGGAUCGUGGAAUUCCGGGUGUAGUGGUGAAAUGCGCAGAUAUCCGGAGGAACACCGGUGGCGAAGGCGGCGGUCUGGCUCGCAACUGACGCUGAGACGCGAAAGCAUGGGUAGCGAAC